rnacentral:lncRNA from 1 species
UUUGUCGCCUUCCUUCGCUCCGCCCGCCCCUUCCUUCCGUGCGCACCUUCGCCCCGCCCACCCCACUGUCCUCCCGCCGUUUCUCUCGCGCUUCCAUUCGGCAAACCCGAGCUCUUUGUUCAAUGCCUAGCCACCUAUUCCUACAGACACGGCAGUGGAAAGGAAAAGAAAGUACUGACUUACAGUGAUUUAGCAAACACUGCACAGCAAUCAGAAACUUUUCAGUUUCUUGCAGGUACUUAGUCUUUGAAACAUUCUGGUUAAAAAAUGAUUAGUAAUCAAUAGCUCUUUCCCCACCCCUUGCCUCCCUUCUGCUCUCACGGAAAAUUAGACUUUUUGCUACUUUUUCCAAGCCGCAAAGUACUAUGAGUUGUCACAGGAAGAUACUUUUAGUCUUCUCUGUUUGAAUGUGUUUGUCAUGUGGUCCACCUAGAACAAUAGUGAAGCCAACAACAUUCACAAGAUGUUGGUUGGCCGCGUAUGCUGGGCAGUCCUUUACUCUCUACAGGGACCCUGCCUGCCACUGAAGGGAAAACUCAGGGUGGGUCUACAUGGCCGUAGUUAGAGCUUAAGUCUACCCUGGGGCUAGCCUAGGCUAUCUCAGGUAGUCGGGCAGGGUUGCUCAUAAAAGCAGCUCAUAGAGACACCAUGGUUUGUACUCAUUGGACUGGAAAGAGGCCUAUAGCGUUCGUUAGGAGACAAUGCUAGUUUCUUUGAUAUUUUACCCAGAAAUGCAGCCUGAAUUUCAUCUUGUUUUGGAACCUCUUAUAGAGGUCAAAGCAGGAACUAGUACAUUUUGAAAUGUGCAUUGCUGUGUUCAUAGUCUACCAUAACCAAUUGCUGAUGUACGCUUUAUGUUUUUAAGAUAUAUUACCAAAGAAGAUUUUAGCUAGUAAAUACCUGAAAAUGCUUAAAGAGGAAAAGA